AUCGAACGCUGGCGGCAGGCCUAACAAAUGCAAGUCGAACGAGUGGCGGACGGGUGAGUAAUGGCUGGGAAACUGCCUUAGGGAGGGGGAUAACAACUGGACACGGUAGCUAAUACUGAAUACAAUCGGAUGUGUCCAGAUGGGAUUAGCUAGUAGGUGGGGUAAAGUCUCACCUAGGCGACGAUCCACAGCUGGUCUGAGAGGAUGACCAGCCACAAUGGAACUGAGACACGGUCCAGACUCCGACGGGAGGCAGCAGUGGGGAAUAUUGCACAUUGGGCGGAGGCCUGAUACAGCGAUGGCGCGUGUAUGAAGAAGGCCUUCGGGUUGUAAAGUACUUUCAGCUGUGAGGCGUUACCCGCAGAAGAAGCACCGGCUAACUCCGUGCCAGCAGCCGCGGUAAUAC
rnacentral:rRNA from 1 species